rnacentral:rRNA from 1 species
GACGAACGCUGGCGGCGUGCUUAACACAUGCAAGUCGAACGCUGAAGCUCAGCUUUUGUUGGGUGGAUGAGUGGCGAACGGGUGAGUAACACGUGAGUAACCUGCCCCCUUCUUUGGGAUAACGCCCGGAAACGGGUGCUAAUACUGGAUAUUCACUGGUCUUCGCAUGGGGGUUGGUGGAAAGGGUUUUUCUGGUGGGGGAUGGGCUCGCGGCCUAUCAGCUUGUUGGUGGGGUGAUGGCCUACCAAGGCUUUGACGGGUAGCCGGCCUGAGAGGGUGACCGGGCACAUUGGGACGGAGAUACGGACCAGACUCCUGCGGGAGGCAGCAGUGGGGAAGAUUGCACAAGGGGCGCAAGCCUGAUGCAGCGACGCAGCGUGAGGGAUGGAGGCCGUCGGGUUGUGAACCUCUUUCGCUCAUGGUCAAGCCGCGACAAUGGUGGUGGUGAGGGUAGUGGGUAAAGAAGCGCCGGCUAACUACGUG